UGAACAUUUCUUUUUUUCCCAAUAAAUUAGCAUUUUCUUUUUUGCCUGAAACAAGUAAUUACCCCAAUUAUCCGCCUGAUGCAAUCUAUCCUGUGAUUCAGUCUUGAAGGACAGGAGGUUAGAAAGGUUCUUCCUACUUCCCUGCCCUGGUGAGCACAAAUAUCAGUGACAGAAUGGCCGAUGCCAGAUUGUUAUGUGGCCAAGGGUUUUCUCACUUCGGUGCUCAGGAUGAUGGGCUGUCCCUUCGUUCCGUCAUUGGAGCAGUUAGAUACGGCGUUGGCUACUUGGCAGAACUUUCUGAGGAGGAUUUGUCUGAGUAAGAGAUAAACCCAGGG